rfam:Aspergillus cristatus strain GZAAS20.1005 Scaffold_Scf_1, whole genome shotgun sequence.
UCAUGAACAACGCAAAAAACAACAUUCUUCCAAAAGCGUUCCUACGAGGAUACAUUCCUAUGAAGUACGGAAAUCGUCAUGUAGAAUGGAGAGGAAUGCCUCUGGCAAAGGGUCGAUCUUGGGUGCAGUGCCUGCUUGAACUCCAAUGGGGUUCUAUAGUAGGGAUUGCAAUGAUUGACUGUACAA